rnacentral:lncRNA from 1 species
CCGUGUGAUCGUGACAGAGAUUGACCCCAUCUGCGCCCUUCAGGCCCUGAUGGAGGGCAUCCAGAUCCUCACUUUGGAGGACGUUGUCUCUGAUGCUGACAUCUUUGUGACCACCACUGGAAACAAGGACAUCAUCAUGGUUGACCACAUGAGGAAGAUGAAGAACAACGCCAUUGUCUGCAACAUUGGUCACUUUGACAACGAGAUCGACAUGAACGGCCUCGAGACCUACCCUGGUGUCAAGCGCAUCACCAUCAAGCCUCAGACUGACCGCUGGGUCUUCCCUGAGACCAACACUGGCAUCAUUGUUCUUGCUGAGGGUCGUCUGAUGAACCUUGGCUGUGCCACUGGCCACCCCAGCUUUGUCAUGUCCUGCUCAUUCACCAACCAGGUAUGAUCAAUGUGUAGUCAACUGUUAACUAGUAUUGAGUUCACAACUGAUAGUACAACCAUGAGUUAGCAUCCAAUUUUGUGCUUUGCUGCAGGUCAUUGCUCAGCUGGAGUUGUGGAAGGAGAAGGCCACCGGCAAGUACGAGAAGAAGGUGUACGUGCUCCCCAAGCACCUCGACGAGAAGGUCGCCGCCCUCCACCUGGGCAAGCUGGGUGCCAGGCUUACCAAGCUCACCAAGGCCCAGUCUGAGUACAUUAGCAUCCCAGUCGAUGGUCCCUACAAGCCGGCGGCAUACCGGUACUAGUGUGUCUGUCCAGCACGACUAGCGGCUGGCCUGAGCCUGAGAGGCGCACGGCGACCUAUGAACUAUCCUGUUUUCCUUUGCAUUAUCUAUCUAGAUUUAGGCAUGUUGUCUAUUAGGUGGAGGAUUUGUCAUGGUUUGAGACUGGUGAGGGUGUGGUGGAUUGCUAUUGCCCAGAAAUAAUAGUGUUAUUAUUUUGGUUUAAAUGAGGAGGUGUGUUUUGUCCUUCUGAUUCUACAUGUCUGAUGCUCCGUCCAUGGACGUGACAAAUCUUUUGCCUCCGUUUCGGAAAAAGAAUAGUCCGUGAGUGGUGUGAUGUGAGUUACUGAGCUCCAA